GUCGCCAUCCUGGCCAUGGAGAUUCUUUUAUGGGUUUUGGCGAAAUUGACCCUUUUCGCGUAAUGUCUGUUCAGGUUCUUAUUGAGGAGUGCAUUUGGCAGUGGAGAUUGUCCCUGUUUGCCAGAGAGGAUUUUGGCUAUUCAGCAAAUGACAGGAAACAGAAAGGGAC